GGUGGUUUCAUGCCCUUGACUGCUUCAAAGGAGAUGACCAUUAAAUCUGGUUUAUCAAACUCAUUUGGAUUUGGAGGAACGAAUUCUUGCUUGCUUUUUACUUCAACCAAUUGAACACUGAAAUUCAGCUGGAACAAGAGUUUUAUUAGGCAUUAGACUAUAGUUAGCCAGGCGAGGCAAACAAAAGCCCUCCGCCCAUCUCAAUAAUCAAAUACAAGAGGAAGCAAGUGGAAGGAGAUCGGAGGUUUGAGGGCUGCUAUAAUACGCUUAAAAUAAACGUUUUAGCCAACUCUUUAGAUGUGUCCCGAGAACAAGUAGAAAAUGCGGAGGACUUCUAAUGCCCAGAGAGCAUAAGUUUUUCCACAAAUAUUUGAUUGAGUUGUUGACAUUGAUGGUAUGGAUUCUUGUAAUCGAUUACAACUAUAUUGGCACUGUGGUGUAAUUGUUAUUGUUGUCAUUGUCUUGUAAACCAC
rnacentral:misc_RNA from 1 species